rnacentral:rRNA from 1 species
GAGAGUGGGUAGUCCGCACGAGCGCACCUCACUUUUAGUUGCCAUCAUUAAGUUGGGCACUCUGUAAAGAACUGCCAGUGAUAAGCUGGAGGAAGGUGGGGAUGACGUCAAGUCCUCAUGGCCCUUACGUGUUGGGCUACACACGUGCUACAAUGGCAUCUACAACAGGAAGCAAAACGGCAACGUUAAGCAAAUCCCGAAAAGAUGCCUCAGUUCGGAUUGCACUCUGCAACUCGAGUGCAUGAAGCUGGAAUUACUAGUAAUCGUGGAUCAGCGUGCCACGGUGAAUGCGUUCCCGGGUCUUGUACACACCGCCCGUCACACCAUGGGAGUUGGUUCUACCUUAAGGCAAGGUUUUAAACCCUUGACCACGGUAUAGUCAGCGACUGGGGUGAAGUCGUAACAAGGUAGCCGUAGGGGAACCUGCGGCUGGAUUACCUCCUUUCU